AUGCAAGUCGAACGAAGUAGCAAUACUGAGUGGCAGACGGGUGAGUAACAUGUGGGAAUCUGCCUUGUGGUUCAGGACAACAUUGGGAAACCGAUGCUAAUACUGGAUAAGCCCUUACGGGGAAAGUUUUAAUGCCAUAAGAUGAGCCCGCAUUUGAUUAGUUAGUUGGUGAGGUAAUGGCUCACCAAGACAAUGAUCAAUAGCUGAUCUGAGAGGAUGAUCAGCCACACUGGGACUGAGACACGGCCCAGACUCCUACGGGAGGCAGCAGUGGGGAAUCUUGCACAAUGGAGGAAACUCUGAUGCAGCGAUGCCGCGUGAGUGAAGAAGGCCUUUGGGUUGUAAAGCUCUUUUGUAGGGGAAGAUAAUGACUGUACCCUAAGAAUAAGGUCCGGCUAACUUCGUGCCAGCAGCCGCGGUAAUACGAAGGGACCUAGCGUAGUUCGGAAUUACUGGGCGUAAAGCGCGCGUAGGCCGUUGAGUUAGUUAAUUGUGAAAUCCCAAAGCUUAACUUUGGAACUGCAAUUAAAACUGCUCGACUAGAGUUUGAUAGAGGAAAGCGGAAUACAUAGUGUAGAGGUGAAAUUCGUAGAUAUUAUGUAGAACACCAGUUGCGAAGGCGGCUUUCUGGAUCAACACUGACGCUGAGGCGCGAAAGUAUGGGUAGCAAAGAGGAUUAGAUACCCUCGUAGUCCAUACCAUAAACGAUGAUUGCUAGAUGUUGGAAAUUUAUUUUCAGUAUCGCAGCUAACGCAUUAAGCAAUCCGCCUGGGGAGUACGACCGCAAGGUUAAAACUCAAAUGAAUUGACGGGGACCCGCACAAGCGGUGGAGCAUGUGGUUUAAUUCGAAGAUACGCGCAGAACCUUACCAACCCUUGACAUGUCUGUCGCGAGUUUAGGAAACUAGACUUUUCGGUUCGGCCGGAC
rnacentral:rRNA from 1 species